rnacentral:piRNA from 1 species
GGAAUAUCAGAGUGGCUUGACCAGAAA